GAUAUGUACGGUGACACCGAGGACGAUAGACCCAUCAUGGGGACUCUCUGGUACGCUCGUCAGAAGAGGUGGGCCCACGUACAGUCUCGUCGGGCAUAUCCUGAAUUUGUGGCUGAGUUUGAUCGGUUGACACCUGAAGACAUCGUGUGGGAGCCCUACUCCGAGUUGGCUAUAAACACUCGUGCACCGAUCGGGAUAUUUUCGGUUUGCUUUCAGGACCAGGCCUUUUGGAUGACAACUACAGCGUUGGUGUACGACCCUUCUCCAACAUGUGGGUGACUAAAUUGUUUUCAAUAUUUAGUUUAUCGAGGACUGAGCAACCCUUCUCCAACAUGUGGGUGACAAGGGUGCAGCCUUGGGUCGAUGGCUGGGACCAGGCAGAGGAGAACGUGGCGCUUGCGACCCCUGCACACACGGAGGCUUCGUACAGGGCGUACCUGAGCUGGUACCAGCCUCAGACUCGUUGCCGCUUGAUAUAUGCUGACAUGCAACCACAGCCGCAUGUUGCGACAGCACAGGAUGGGUACGCACGAUAUAGGGAUGAGGCAUUAGCUGGGGCGUUUGAAAUGUGCAGGUUGAUGGACUUAGAUGCCAGGACGAAUUUGAUGAGGAUUCGAG